GUCUACGGCCAUACCACCCUGAACGUGCCCCAUCUCGUCUGAUCUCGGAAGCUAAGCAGGGUCGGGCCCGGUUAGUACUUGGAAGGGAGAUAUCAGCUGUUCACAUCAGAGACCUAGAUGGAGGUUCUGGCACUGGCU
ensembl:rRNA 5S_rRNA 5S ribosomal RNA